CCUACGGGUGGCAGCAGUGGGGAAUAUUGGGCAAUGGAGGAAACUCUGACCCAGCAACGCCGCGUGAAUGAUGAAGGUCUUCGGAUUGUAAAGUUCUUUUCUAAGGGAAGAAGAAAGUGACGGUACCUUAGGAAUAAGCCUCGGCUAACUACGUGCCAGCAGCCGCGGUAAUACGUAGGAGGCAAGCGUUAUCCGGAAUGACUGGGCGUAAGGGGUGCGUAGGUGGUUUGACAAGUUGGUAGCGUAACUGCGAGGCUUAACCUCGGCACUACUACCAAAACUGUUGGACUCGAGUGCAGGGAGGGCAAAUGGAAUUCCUAGUGUAGCGGUGGAAUGCGUAGAUAUUAGGAGGAACACCAGUGGCGAAGGCGAUUUGCUGGACUGUAACUGACACUGAGGCACGAAAGCGUGGGGAGCAAACAGGAUUAGAUACCCGUGUAGUC
rnacentral:rRNA from 1 species